rnacentral:lncRNA from 1 species
UACAUAAAUAAUAACAAGAAGGUGUAUGCUGUCAUUGCCCUGCUUGAAACACCAGAAGUGGUUUGGCAGGAAAGACACCAAAACAGAUUACUCCAGAUAAACAUACAAUCAGAUGCUUCUAUGCAUUAGGGGAGUGCAGUGGUGCAAUCAUGGCUCACUGCAGCCUUGAACUUCUGGGCACAAGUGAUCUGUCACCUCAGCCUCCUGAAUAUCUUUCUAAAUAAAAAGGAUUGAUUAAACAGAAAUACCUAUAAACUAUUCUUUUGGAACUUCCGUAAUGGGACUAUCAGGGUGUCUUGCACCUAGUAAGUGUUCAAUAUAUACUUCUUGAAUAUGUAAAUAUAAAUAAACCCAGAACUAGGCCAUUAGGUGAACUAGACAUGAGGUGAAAUGGAACAUUCGUGGUGGGUGCCGCUCUUGUGGGAGAACAAUGGGUAGAAGUUCAUUUGUCCCUGUCUAUAGGACUUUUGGUGAGACAAGAUUACCUCCAUGCAUUUGGCAGGAUAACUUGUGUGUGACAGUCUUUGAUGGCACAGGGACCCGGAUCGACUUAUUGGUCAUGUCCAAUUCCAUCAUGUACGCAAAAGAAUGAUAAGG